CUGGCUCAGAACGAACGCUGGCGGCGUGGAUAAGACAUGCAAGUCGAACGGGACAUUGUGAGUAGCAAUACGAGCAGUGUCUAGUGGCGAACGGGUGCGUAACACGUGGAUACAUUCCGGGAAGCGGGGGAUAGCCCAGGGAAACUUGGAUUAAUACCGCAUGUGGUCGAAAGACUAAAGGCAGGGACCGCAAGGCCUGCCACUUCCCGAUUGGUCCGCGGCCUAUCAGCUAGUUGGCGGGGUAAAAGCCCACCAAGGCUACGACGGGUAGCUGGUCUUAGAGGACGACCAGCCACACUGGAACUGAGACACGGUCCAGACACCUACGGGUGGCAGCAGUCGAGAAUCUUUCACAAUGGGGGCAACCCUGAUGGAGCGACGCCGCGUGGAGGAUAAGGUCUUCGGAUUGUAAACUCCUGUCAUGUGUGAACAAGGUUGUCUUGUUAAUAGCGAGGCAAAUUGAUGGUAACACAAGAGGAAGAGACGGCUAACUCUGUGCCAGCAGCCGCGGUAAUACAG
rnacentral:rRNA from 1 species